AGCAAAAUAAUCUGCAUAAUAAUAUUUAAAAUUAAAAAAAGAAGGAGAAGAAAACAAAGGUUAGAGUGUGGAUCAAAGAGCCAACAACUGACCAGUGCAUCAAAUCAUUCACAUGCCUCAGCAAGAUUUCCUGCCCUAAGCAAAUCUUUGCUUUAUUAUAAAAACUUUUGAGCUGAGUAAGCAAAUCUUUGUAAAUCUAAAACCAAGAAACUUAGAUUUAGCACAUAUCUAGAUGCUCUCUUAUUAGAUUGACAUCGCCACAAAUUUUUAACUUGAAGUAGCUAGAUUUAAUAUUUUAGAUCAGAAAACAAACUUGAGGCUGCUAUGCAUCAUCUUACACUAGAAAAAUCAAUUGAAUCUAAAUGAUAUUUGCUCACUUGAUUUUCUUGGGAAUUUUUAAGAAUUAAAUCAACCAUUAACUUAUAUUAUUGGAUAAUUUUGUUUGCUAAAGUUCAAUUGAGAUUAAGAAAUUUGGUAGAAAAAUAAAUGGAACUCAGUAAAAUGACCGGUGGGGACCUUCAUGCUGACAAAUUCAAACUUGAGGGUGUAAUCUAGAGAAUCACAAAACUCAUCAU
rnacentral:misc_RNA from 1 species